rnacentral:misc_RNA from 1 species
UUUCCGUAGGUGAACCUGCGGAAGGAUCAUUAUUGUAUAUUCGAGGUUCGAGGUCUGUCGCUUUCCCGUGAGGUUGUGCACGCACUCUUUAUAUACCACUCAUCCCUCUCACGCAUAUGUGAACAACCGCGCGGGUGUCCCUUUGGUCUGUUCGGAGGGGGGAUUACCUUUUCACUCAUACUAUGUAUUAAGUGUUGAAUGUAUUUUUUGUUUUUGCGAUAACGCAAUAUAUACAACUUUCCACAACGGAUCUCUUGGCUCUCGCACCGAUGAGGAACA